rnacentral:tRNA from 1 species
GGCGACAUAGCCAAGUGGUAAGGCGAAGGUCUGCAAAACCUUUACUCUCGGUUCGAAUCCGAGUGUCGCCU